GCUCGGUACCACCCACUGAACCCACACCCAGGUCCCUGUCGGCCCUGUCUGCGUACCACGGUGGGGUCCUUGUUAACCUGCCUCUGUCCCCCAGGUCCCUGUCGGCCCUGUCUGCGUACCACAGUGGGGUCCUGACUCCUAUGAAGAUGCGUAGUGAGUCUCAGAGCUCUCUGAGGCUGUACAGUGGCAGCCCCACCCACACGGACAAGGACCAUGUCUCCAUAUCAUCAUUCUACUACAAAGAACGGAAGCCUCCUCAGUCUGGCCUUCGCCGCUGGUCCAUUCAUGACUGCCCGG